AUUGAACGCUGGCGGCAGGCCUAAUACAUGCAAGUCGAACGAGUGGCGGACGGGUGUGUAGUGUCUGGGAAACUGCCCGACGGAGGGGGAUAACUACUGGAAACGGUAGCUAAUCCCGCAUACCAUCGGAUUUGCCCAGAUGUGAUUAGCUUGUAGGUGGGGUAACGGCUCACAUAGGCGACGAUCCCUAGCUGGUCUGAGAGGAUGACCACCCACCCUGGAACUGAGACACGGUCCAGACUCCUACGGGAGGAAGCAGUGGGAAAUAUGGCACAAGGGGCGCAAGCCGGAUGCAGCCAGGCCGCGUGUAUGAAGAAGGCCUUCGGGUUGUAAAGUACUUUCAGCGAGGAGGCGUUACUCGCAGAAGAAGCACCGGCUAACUCCGUGCCAGCCGCCGCGGUAAUAC
rnacentral:rRNA from 1 species